AUUGAACGCUGGCGGCAUGCCUUACACAUGCAAGUCGAACGGCAGCACGGGAGCAAUCCUGGUGGCGAGUGGCGAACGGGUGAGUAAUAUAUCGGAACGUGCCCAGUCGUGGGGAUAACGUAGCGAAAGCUACGCUAAUACCGCAUACGAUCUAUGGAUGAAAGCGGGGGAUCGCAAGACCUCGCGCGAUUGGAGCGGCCGAUAUCAGAUUAGGUAGUUGGUGAGGUAAAGGCUCACCAAGCCGACGAUCUGUAGCUGGUCUGAGAGGACGACCAGCCACACUGGGACUGAGACACGGCCCAGACUCCUAUGGGAGGCAGCAGUGGGGAAUUUUGGACAAUGGGCGCAAGCCUGAUCCAGCAAUGCCGCGUGCAGGAUGAAGGCC
rnacentral:rRNA from 1 species